AUUUUAGGUUCUGAGAAUCUCUGACCAGUUGCUUUAAUAACUCUAAUAUAAUUAGCACAUGCAAGAAAUGGUAAUCUCUUUCUCUCGGAUCCGUUAUGCAUCUAUCUCAUAGUUAUAGUUUUAUAGACCAAUGCUUGAUAAUAAUCAAUCCAAUAGCUCUAAGUACGUAUUGUUAUUUUUUAAAGUAAACUAAAUGAUGUUCUUGUUACCAAACGUCCAACACUAAUUAUUUACCUUGGUUAGAAUAAGGUUACUUUUGCCUAUCUUGUAAAUUCUGGAAUUUGUGGAUCCAACAUACUUGAGAACAACCUUCCCCAUUAGUAAUAUUGAAUCUAAAACAAAUAAAAACAGAACUCGUUAAAUAUAGAUGUAGAAAUAAAAAAAAUGAAUAAGAUUUAUGCUAGCUAAUUAUAGUACCUUAUCAUCAAGGAAUAUGUUGCAUCGAUUGCUUCAUUCUGAACUCCCUUUUGCUCCCAGAUUCUCAAGAUGUUUACACGGAUUUGCUAGUCUGAUGUGAAUGAAGAUCUGAAACAUCAGUAAGAUAAGCAAAAUGAGAAGAAACAACAAAAAAAGGUAACACAGAUCAUCAAGAUUCCAUCAACAACUUAACAUGAUUUAACAAAUUAUCAUAGUUUGUAAAAGGUUUAGAACCAAAAUUCAGUACGUGAAAACUUACUUGUUCAUCAGUAUAGACCAUAUCAAGAGUCUCCCUUUUUGACAUUAUAUUGUCCAUUAAUGCAGGAACUUAAACUUGGACGCACAUGCAGCUUUGAAAUGUCUCACAUCUCUGAGAUUGGAAAAUGAAGCAGCCAUUAUUGUGUUAAAAGGUAAAAUCUCUGUUGAUUUGAUAAUUCUCUGUUAGCAAAACCUAUUUAUAGAGGUUAUAGUCUCUUGGCCUUAGGUUUGAUACAAAUUCGACAAUAGCUUUGUGAUCAAGCCAGAUUU
rnacentral:lncRNA from 1 species